UGGGUAUAUACCCAAAAGAAAUGAAGUCAGCAUGUCAGAGAUAUCUGCACUUACAUGUUUAUUGCAGCAUUAUUCACAAUAGCCAAGAUCUGGAGUCAACCUAUCAACGAAUGGAUAAUCAAAAUGUGGUAUGUAUAAACAAUGGAAUGCUACUCAUUGUCUGAAAAUUCAAGAAAGCAAUUCU